UCCGAAUUGGUGUAGUGGCUAACAUUUGACGCUUUCAUCUCUGUUCUGGGAUAUAUAAAAGCGCCGUCAAGCCCGGGGUUCGAUUCCCUGAUUCGGAG